rnacentral:rRNA from 1 species
GUGCUACGACGCCGUACGCUACGCUACGGGCCGCAGGCCAAGCCAAGUACGAGAGAGCGGGCGGAGCCGCGGGUAGAGAGAGGGGUGGACAGAUGUAUAGCGGCGUGGCGUGGCGCGGAGGAGGGGCGCAGAGAUAGAGGCGGGUGCGGGCCGGUAUAUCGAUCGCUCGGUCGUCGUGUGUAAGGGUAGUGCUUAGGAGGAGCCCGAACCGGCUUAAGGGUGCGGUUGAAGUGUGGCGUGGUCUAAGCGCGGCGCGGCGUGGCGUGGCCCGCUCGGCCGGUGCGCGCGAGCGCGAGAUCCGUCUCGAUCGAUCGACGCCGUGCGUGUGUGUGUCUCGACUGGGAUGAGGCCCUCUAUAUGGUCAACUAGCCGGUGCUCUCCUUCGAUCGAUCCAUCGAACGGUUGAUCCUCCGCUUCCCGCCGGCCGGCCUCCGCGCUAGCUCCACCUGCCUGCCUCCGCUCUCGAGCGGCCUCUAGUAGUACAAGCUCCCCUACCUCGCCCGCCCCAUGCCGCACCCGCGGCCCCACCACGACAGCGCCCUGGGGUUCGGGGCCGACGCGACCUGCGGGCUGGACGUGCUCGCGAAGCACCUCCGGCAGUGGUUCGAGCCGCCCGGGCUGUUCCGCUGCGGGUUCAGCCACGACUCUGACUACCCGUACUUUCCCGAGUGGAACAUGGUGGAGUUCUCGGUAGAAGUCUUUAUGUCCUACCCUUUCGUCUCGUUCUUUCUGUGUCCGAAGCUUUGGUUGUCUCCUCGGAAGCGGCGCGUCCCAUAGUCAAAGAGGAGCCGCCACGGAGGUUUGCAAGGCAGGCGGCCUUUGUCGUUGUACCCCUUUAAAAUAUGGCUGUAGUGUUUUACGACCUAGUCAGGGCAGUUUCUUUUUACGACGUAGUCAGAUAGAUAUGGCUUAGUCAAAUAUCUUUGCGGUGAGCGCCUACGAAAUUCUAUAGUUUAGCUUCAGGUUUCCUUCGACGUGCUUGUCGAGCUCCAAGUCUUCUUCGACGUCUACGCGUAGCUCCGCGUUCCCUUCAUGGACGUUUGCUAGGACCUCUUCCGGGUCUUCUUGGAGAGGAUGCUUCGGCCGCCUCUGCGUUGGGAUCUCUGAUGGUCCAGCGUCGAGUGGCUGAAGUUGGAUCGGGAGAGCCCCAAGUACCUGCUGCGCUGCGUCCGCACGGUCGUCUUGCCGCCCCUCGACCGGUUCCGGGAGAGGCUGCUGCCGGAGUCUCGGCCGUUGGACCCGAAGGUCGAGAUGGUGCCGCCGCUGCUGCACUUUACGCGGUGGCUGCUCCUGGACGAGGACGACCUGGACUUGUAGUUUCCUCCCAUGCUAGUGGCCGACAGGCGGGUGCCGUACGGCGCGCCGCGCCACCUGGACUGCCAGCCGGUCGUGGCCUCCAUUUUUACACAAAGCCAUCUUCCCGCUCGCAUCAAAAAUUCAGCUCGUCAACUCGAGGGAUGCUCUCUAAGAAAACCGUCAGGGCUCCUACGAACAAAUGCCAGACCAAUGUGAAAUAUGCAUGCAUGGAUACGACUACAUUUUAGACACCUUUAACUCUAGGUCCGAAGCUUAUUCACAUCGAUCUACUACUAGCUCACACUCUAGACUAACGUGACACAUGCAUGGAGGAUUUUAAGACUAGCUGAUGAUCUUGUAUCGUAGUACCUCACAAAAACGACGACAACUCCCUACCGUAAUACUCCACAACGUACGUUGUCUGGUCCGUGGAAGUUCUCUAAGACAGACAGAACAUCAUCAACCCAAGUCAUCGAGACAAGGAUACAUACUUUUACUAUAGAACAAGGAUUACAGAACAGCUCAUUCGUCUAGUGUAAUAACCG